rnacentral:rRNA from 1 species
CUUACACAUGCAAGUCGAACGGCAGCACGGACUUCGGUCUGGUGGCGAGUGGCGAACGGGUGAGUAAUAUAUCGGAACAUACCCAGUAGUGGGGGAUAACUAUCCGAAAGGAUAGCUAAUACCGCAUACGAUCUGUGGAUGAAAGCAGGGGAUCUUCGGACCUUGUGCUAUUGGAAUGGCCGAUAUCUGAUUAGCUAGUUGGUAGGGUAAAAGCCUACCAAGGCGACGAUCAGUAGCUGGUCUGAGAGGACGACCAGGCACACUGGAACUGAGACACGGGCCAGACUCCUACGGGAGGCAGCAGUGGGGAAUUUUGGACAAUGGGGGCAACCCUGAUCCAGCAAUGCCGCGUGAGUGAAGAAGGCCCUCGGGAUUGUAAAGCUCUUUUGUCAGGGGAAGAAACGGAGUUCUCUAAUAUAGGAUUCUAAUGACGGUACCUGAAGAAUAAGCACCGGCUAACUACGUGCCAGCAGCCGCGGUAAUACGUAGGGUGCAAGCGUUAAUCGGAAUUACUGGGCGUAAAGCGUGCGCAGGCGGAAUUGUAAGUCUGAUGUGAAAUC